UACGUAGGGUGCAAGCGUUAUCCGGAAUUAUUGGGCGUAAAGAGCUCGUAGGCGGUUUGUCGCGUCUGCUGUGAAAACUGGAGGCUCAACCUCCAGCCUGCAGUGGGUACGGGCAGACUAGAGUGCGGUAGGGGAGAUUGGAAUUCCUGGUGUAGCGGUGAAAUGCGCAGAUAUCAGGAGGAACACCGGUGGCGAAGGCGGGUCUCUGGGCCGAUACUGACGCUGAGGCGCGAAAGCGUGGGGAGCAAACGGG
rnacentral:rRNA from 1 species